CUACGAGGGGUGCAAGCGUUAAUCGGAAUUACUGGGCGUAAAGCGUUCGUAGGUGGUUUGUUAAGCAAGAUGUGAAAGCCCUGGGCUCAACCUGGGAACUGCAUUUUGAACUGGCAAGCUAGAAUACUGUAGAGGGUGGUGGAAUUUCCAGUGUAGCGGUGAAAUGCGUAGAGAUUGGAAGGAACAUCAGUGGCGAAGGCGGCCACCUGGACAGAUAUUGACGCUGAGGAACGAAAGCGUGGGGAGCGAACAGGAUUAGAAACCCGAGUAGUCC
rnacentral:rRNA from 1 species